ACAUCCAGAGAACUUAGCAGAGAUGCUUUGGUGCCUUCGGGAACUCUGAGACAGGUGCUGCAUGGCUGUCGUCAGCUCGUGUUGUGAAAUGUUGGGUUAAGUCCCCGNAACGAGCGCAACCCUUAUCCUUUGUUGCCAGCGGUUCGGCCGGGAACUCAAAGGAGACUGCCGGUGAUAAACCGGAGGAAGGUGGGGAUGACGUCAAGUCAUCAUGGCCCUUACGGCCAGGGCUACACACGUGCUACAAUGGCGCAUACAAAGAGAAGCGACCUCGCGAGAGCAAGCGGACCUCAUAAAGUGCGUCGUAGUCCGGAUUGGAGUCUGCAACUCGACUCCAUGAAGUCGGAAUCGCUAGUAAUCGUAGAUCAGAAUGCUACGGUGAAUACGUUCCCGGGCCUUGUACACACCGCCCGUCACACCAUGGGAGUGGGUUGCAAAAGAAGUAGGUAGCUUAACCUUCGGGAGGGCGCUUACCACUUUGUGAUUCAUGACUGGGGUGAAGUCGUAACAAGGUAAGCGUAGCGAG
rnacentral:rRNA from 1 species